GGCUUUAAAGGACCACUAUAGUGCCAGGAAAACAUACUUGUUUUCCUGGCACUAUAGUGCCCUGAGGGUGCCCCCACCCUCAGGGACCCCCUCCCGCCCGGUUCUGUAAAGGGGAAAGGGGUUAAAACUUACCUUUUUCCAGCGCUGGGCGGGGAGCUCUCCUCCUUCUCUCCUCCUCCUGGGCUGAAUGUGCACGCGCGGCAAGAGCUGCGCGCGCAUUCAGCCCGUCGCAUAGGAAAGCAUUUACAAUGCUUUCCUAUGCAUGCUUGCGUGCUCUCACUGUGAAAAUCACA